GCUGUCACUUACAGAUGGACCCGCGGCGCAUUAGCUAGUUGGUGAGGUAACGGCUCACCAAGGCGACGAUGCGUAGCCGACCUGAGAGGGUGAUCGGCCACACUGGGACUGAGACACGGCCCAGACUCCUACGGGAGGCAGCAGUAGGGAAUCUUCCGCAAUGGACGAAAGUCUGACGGAGCAACGCCGCGUGAGUGAUGAAGGUUUUCGGAUCGUAAAGCUCUGUUGUUAGGGAAGAACAAGUGCAAGAGUAACUGCUUGCACCUUGACGGUACCUAACCAGAAAGCCACGGCUAACUACGUGCCAGCAGCCGCGGUAAUACGUAGGUGGCAAGCGUUGUCCGGAAUUAUUGGGCGUAAAGGGCUCGCAGGCGGUUUCUUAAGUCUGAUGUGAAAGCCCCCGGCUCAACCGGGGAGGGUCAUUGGAAACUGGGAAACUUGAGUGCAGAAGAGGAGAGUGGAAUUCCACGUGUAGCGGUGAAAUGCGUAGAGAUGUGGAGGAACACCAGUGGNCGAAGGCGACUCUUUGGUCUGUAACUGACGCUGAGGAGCGAAAGCGUGGGGAGCGAACAGGAUUAGAUACCCUGGUAGUCCACGCCGUAAACGAUGAGUGCUAAGUGUUAGGGGGUUUCCGCCCCUUAGUGCUGCAGCUAACGCAUUAAGCACUCCGCCUGGGGAGUACGGUCGCAAGACUGAAACUCAAAGGAAUUGACGGGGGCCCGCACAAGCGGUGGAGCAUGUGGUUUAAUUCGAAGCAACGCGAAGAACCUUACCAGGUCUUGACAUCCUCUGACAACCCUAGAGAUAGGGCUUUCCCUUCGGGGACAGAGUGACAGGUGGUGCAUGGUUGUCGUCAGCUCGUGUCGUGAGAUGUUGGGUUAAGUCCCGCAACGAGCGCAACCCUUGAUCUUAGUUGCCAGCAUUUAGUUGGGCACUCUAAGGUGACUGCCGGUGACAAACCGGAGGAAGGUGGGGAUGACGUCAAAUCAUCAUGCCCCUUAUGACCUGGGCUACACACGUGCUACAAUGGACAGAACAAAGGGCUGCGAGACCGCAAGGUUUAGCCAAUCCCACAAAUCUGUUCUCAGUUCGGAUCGCAGUCUGCAACUCGACUGCGUGAAGCUGGAAUCGCUAGUAAUCGCGGAUCAGCAUGCCGCGGUGAAUACGUU
rnacentral:rRNA from 1 species